ensembl:lncRNA
UAACUAUUAUACUCAGAAUCACACAUCAGCUACUGGUAAACCAGAAUAUGAUACUACACUAGCAGAUGAAGGCCAAGGUUGCCCAGAACACACUUUUAACUCAAUGCUGAUGAUGAUAAAACAGCUCCAUUUCCAGAGAAAGUUCUGCUCCUCCUGUGCUUUCCUGUUGGGUCCCAUCCCUGCUCAGGAUUUGGAAUCAUGCAGAAAUGACAGCACUGCUUAUGCCCCUUUCCAGCUUCCUUUUUGGGAAUGAGCAACAUUUGAAUACUUCUGUUUGAUGUGAAAAGUUGAGUGGAGAGAAAUGACCCAGCAAUCCUGACACCCUCAAAACGAAUCCCCAGUUUUGUACAGCAUCCUGGGAAGAUGCCUAAGUACCAAGCCCAGAAACAACAGGGGGCGCUGUAGAGACAAAGGGCCAUCAGGCAUCCAUCCAGACUGCCCGAGUCACGAAGGCCUUUCACUGUCACACUGGGGCCCCUGGAAGCCAGGCCCUGCCUACUCAAGCCAGCAGUGUGUGUGUCACCGGGGCAGUGCUCUAACAUAACAAUUUGUGAGAGAUCAGUAUGUCCAGCGAGCUGUGGUGCCACAGUGUGGGUGCAAGCCAAGCCUGACCUCUUAUUAACCUCUUCUCAACAGGUCUAGAGAAAACUGAGCCCUCCUCCAGAUCUCAGAGAACUGGAGUCUCAUCUCAGACAAGCAGCAGACAUCAGUGCUCUCAGUUCAGGGAUUAAAUUUAGAAACCCAUUAUUUCUAUUUUCUUACUCGUUCCUCACAUUCGACUCUCUGAAAAGGCAAAAUGUUUAUGAACUUGUUCUUACAGUAACAUCUUCUGGCUCUUACGUUUCCCACAAAAUCCUAUCUUGAAUAACACCAUAUGGUUGGGUUCUCUUUUACAAACUCACCCCACUAACGAUGGUUUGCAGUAAAGCAGAGAAGCAUGGAGGCAGCCCUACAACACUCAAAGAUGUGUACAUCUGCCCCCACCUCAUGUCCACUUGCCUAGGUUUGACCCACAGCACAUCUCCGUCUAACACCUGUCAGUCUUCGUGUGUCUGGUCCUGCCCAGAGUUCAGGAUUUUGGGGCCCUGGCAUGAACCCAUCACACUAAUGUGAUUUUUAUUUUUAUAAAGAGAAGCCAUGUGUUGUGGAUAUUUGUGGGGACCCCCCCAGAGACCACCAAGUUUACAUUCUCCACUGACUUAUGACUAUAAAGCAAAGUGACCCAAAAAAAAAAAAAACCCCUCCAAUUAUUGCAACGCAAACCCCACUUAAUGUAAGUCCCUCUGGCAAACUCCCAGCUAUUUCUCCAACUCUUCCCUCUUCCUCUGAAACCUGCUGGUCUGGUCAGACACAGCUGCCUCUUCCCCCUGGUCUGGGCCAGUGGUCACCACACCCUCCCAACUUCAGAGGCAGAGCACCAUGCUUUCUAACUUCCCAAAGCACUGCUGUGAUGUUAACAAGGCAGUGCAGGUUCCCAGAAGCAUAACUUCUUCCUGAAAGGUAACUCUGUUCUCCCUGAGCUAAGAUGCAUAGACUCUAUCUCAUGCACGAUGCCUAUCCCAGCUGGUCUUUGCCUGUCUCCAGCCUGUCCCAGGCGGCAGAGCCCAACUCACUGCCUUCAGUAGGAAGCUCCAAGCAUCUUCACACCCAUAACCUCCCCAACACUCUCUUCUCUCCUGACACCGAAUUAAAGAAGUCCUUCCACACUCUCACCUAACACCAGUGUCUUUCCUCCUCUAGACUUAAUCCUCAGGUUGACUAUUUCUUCAGGAGGAAGCCUCUAAGUGUACCCUGGAAAAGAAAGUCAGGAUAGUCAUAAGAGGUAUAUUUGGCAGCCUUUUACUGGGCUUCCCUGGUGGCUCAGAUGGUAAAGAAUCUGCCCCCAUUGCAGGAGACCCAGAUUCAACUCCUGGGUCAGAAAGAUCCCCCAGAGAAGGGAAUGGCAACCCACUCUAGUACUCUUGCCUGGAGAAUACCAUGGACAGAGUAGCCUGGCAGGCUACAGCCCAUGGGGUCAGAAAGAGCUGGACACGACUGCGACUAAGCACACACGUUACUAGAUGAAAGGACAGCAUGAGAUGCACCAAGGGUCCCAUGCGCCCUGUCCAAGCCUGAUCCCAGUCCUCUUCCCCACUUUGCUUCACCAGAAGGAGAGGCAUUGAUGCCUGUGUCCCUGCCCCUGUUCUGGCUGGAGCUGUCCUUCCUCUGUGAGCAGAUGUUAGAGUGAGAAGACUGUGUUUUCUAAGAACAGGCAUGAGCAGGCCACAUCAAGAGGUUUAAGAGCAAGGUAAAAUGAAAUAAAAUAGGUCAGAGGUUCAGUUCCAAAAACAAACUGCAGCAUUCAUCCAGAAAGGUUCAAACUGCCUUCAUCUUCACAAAUGGUAGAAUUUCUAGCUUCUAAAACAAGUUUAGUGACUGUCAGACUUCCUGCUGCCUUCAGAUGACACUCUCAAUGCUGUCACAUAGAGAUCCCAACAUGGGCGUUUCGAGGUUCUUUAAUCCAAAUGGGUUGCUGGAAAUGCAGCU